rnacentral:rRNA from 1 species
UACGUAGGGGGCAAGCGUUGUCCGGAUUUACUGGGCGUAAAGAGCGCGUAGGCGGAAGUUUAAGCGGUGCUUGAAAGCCCCCCGGCUCAACCGGGGAGGGUGGUGCCGAACUGGACUUCUUGAGGGCGAUAGAGGAGAGUGGAGUUCCGGGUGUAGCGGUGAAAUGCGUAGAGAUCCGGAGGAACACCAGUGGCGCAGGCGGCUCUCUCGGGUCGGCCCUGACGCUGAGGCGCGAAAGCGUGGGGAGCGAACGGG